rnacentral:ribozyme from 1 species
GCAGAUCGAUCUCUAUGGCUGGCGCCGCCGCCAUGUCUCCCCCCGCUUCUGCGCCGAUCAGGGUCGACUCCUCCUCAGAUAUCGACGCGACGUCCUACGAAGAACAUGCAUCCGCUCAACAACAAG